rnacentral:rRNA from 1 species
AGGGAGCUUGCUCCCGGAUGUUAGCGGCGGACGGGUGAGUAACACGUGGGUAACCUGCCUGUAAGACUGGGAUAACUCCGGGAAACCGGAGCUAAUACCGGAUAGUUCCUUGAACCGCAUGGUUCAAGGAUGAAAGACGGUUUCGGCUGUCACUUACAGAUGGACCCGCGGCGCAUUAGCUAGUUGGUGAGGUAACGGCUCACCAAGGCGACGAUGCGUAGCCGACCUGAGAGGGUGAUCGGCCACACUGGGACUGAGACACGGCCCAGACUCCUACGGGAGGCAGCAGUAGGGAAUCUUCCGCAAUGGACGAAAGUCUGACGGAGCAACGCCGCGUGAGUGAUGAAGGUUUUCGGAUCGUAAAGCUCUGUUGUUAGGGAAGAACAAGUGCAAGAGUAACUGCUUGCACCAUGACGGUACCUAACCAGAAAGCCACGGCUAACUACGUGCCAGCAGCCGCGGUAAUACGUAGGUGGCAAGCGUUGUCCGGAAUUAUUGGGCGUAAAGGGCUCGCAGGCGGUUUCUUAAGUCUGAUGUGAAAGCCCCCGGCUCAACCGGGGAGGGUCAUUGGAAACUGGGAAACUUGAGUGCAGAAGAGGAGAGUGGAAUUCCACGUGUAG